GCCAGAAGAGGGCGGAGUCGGGACGUUAAGGGCAGUAGAGCCCGUGCGCAGGACCGUGGAAUGUUCCAGGACACGGAACCGUUGGAGCGGAGGAGCUGAGGGUGGAGUAAGGUAUCACUGGGUUUGGUGAUGACGCAGUCGGACGAGGCCGGAAGCGCGGGCCACAAAGCUUUGAACGGAAGCUGUCUGUCUUGCGCGGUUUUGGCGCUCCUCGUGCGGCCUUAUAUCCCCUCAGGUUCGAGCCAGAAACCUCGGUCCACCUCGAAAAGUAGUAGAAAGCAGAAAGGCUAUGCGGUGUGAGGGGGGCGGCUGCGGUGUGGGCUGGGUGAGGGGAGCGCCGGCGGCCGCAGUGUGGCUGUGUCCCGUGCAGCCGUACCGCCUCCCCUGCACUUGCUGAGCUUCCGGCCUGGCCGGUCCGGGGCUCCUGGCGCGCCCCAGGCGAGUGUAUGGAGAGUGGAGCCCGCGGAGCCACGGGUAGUGGCGGCAAGCUCCAGUGGUCCCGCCACUCGGGAAGCCGAGGCGGAGGGUCGCUUGAGCCCAGGAGUUCCAGACAGGCCUGGGCAGCAGAGCGAGACCCGGUCUCUACAAAGAAAAAAGAAAUGGGCGUGAGACCCAGCGUGCUUUCUGUAUCCUAACCUACCGUUCAAAACCAAGGCAGACCCAAGCCAUGGAAAGCUUGAGGGAAUAAAGUAAUAUUCUGCGGCGGCUAAGAAUAACAGUGCUAAUUAGUUCCUGGGUUAGAGCUUCAGCAUGAGAAUUAUACUUUGACAUAGAAAAUCAGGUCUACAAGUGAAAUAUAAUAAAGUAUUCUGGAAAGAAGGAGACUCUACCUUAUAACCACAAUAGAAAAAUACACGGCACAAGCACUAAAGAAAGGCCAUGUGAACACACAGCAAGAAGGUGGCCUUCUGCAAGCCAGAGCCCUCACCAGGAACUAACUCUGUCAGCACCUUGAUCUUGGAUUUGUAACCUUCAGAAGCAUGAGAAAAUAAAUUUCUGUUGUUUAAGCCACCUAAUCUAUGGUAUUUUGUUAUGGCAGCUCAAGCUGACUAAUACAACUGCAUUUUCGUACAAUUGGUUUUGUUCUGAAUAUGCAUUUUUUUAACAUAUUUAAAAUACUGUUCUGAGAAGGGGUUUGUAGGCUUCACCAGACUGCCAAAGGAGUGCAUGGCAUAGAGGUGGAUAAGAACCCUUGGGCUCACUGGGUUUUAUGGGUGAGCCUGUGAUUUUCCUUGCUUUUCUCUACUUUGGAGGCUGGAAAUUAAAUCACUCAACUCCCCAGCCUCUCUUGCAGUUAAGAACAGACACAUUUGUGAGCUCUGGUCAGUGAGGGAUAAGAGGGGACUGAUGAGAUGUUCUAUGGGAGAAAUUUCCUUCUGGAAUAGAAUGAAAAAGCCUUUUGAGCAUAGACAUCUUUGCGUUUCUUUGCCUGUCUUUCUGCCUGGAUCAUGAUGCAAUGUCUAGAUGUGGAACAAAAAUUUUGCAGUUCUCAAAGUUGCACGUCAAAGAUAGCAGUUUUGACAGCAACCUGGAGCUGAUGCAUUGAUCUUGGACUGACCACUUUUAGAUGUUUUGUCAAUUGAGGAAACUCAGCACAUUUGGCUAAGCCUCUGUAAUUCCAUGUCUGUUAUUUGAAGCUUAAAGUAAUGCUGACUGAUAAUCCUGGCAAAUUAAGACCCAUGUCUAGCAGUGUUUUUCAAACUGGGAUCCCUGGACACCCAGAAUCUAUUAAUAUGUUCUUAAGAAUUUGAGAGCUCUGAAAGAAUUCUGUCAGUGUUGUGUGCUCAUGUUGACAAUAAUCCAAAAUAUAUACAUACAAAUAAGAAUAUAUUUGUCUGUUAUAAAUCCUAAAGUCUCUUAGUCUUUUUUUUUUGAGAUGGAGUUUCUCUCUUGUUGCCCAGGCUGGAGUGAAAUGGCGCAAUCUGGG